AGAUAUGUAUUUGUUGGGUGAGUUGCUUUACACAGGAUUGCUGGGUCAAAGAAUGCAUUGCGGCCAGAUUUUGAUUUUCCCUCUUUUCACCAUUCUUUGGCCCACACUGUGCCUGCAUGGUGAUCACACAGCCUACAGAGAACCCUAUCUGUUUGUGACCCACUUCAACUCACUCGAAGUAAUUGAGAUCCAGGCACGCUCCUCAGCAGGGACCCCUGCCCGAGCGUACCUGGACAUCCCGAACCCGCGCUACCUGGGCCCUGCCAUUUCCUCAGGAGCGAUUUACUUGGCGUCCUCAUACCAGGAUAAAUUAAGGGUCAUUUGCUGCAAGGGAAACCUCGUGAAAGAGUCCGGCACUGAACACCACCGGGGCCCGUCCACCUCCCGCAGCCCCAACAAGCGAGGCCCGCCCACGUACAACGAGCACAUCACCAAGCGCGU
rnacentral:sRNA from 1 species